UGUCUUUUGGUUCCUGACUCGGCUUGUAUUUUGACCCUGCUUUCCUCUCUUGUCCUUUUGACUCGGCUUGUCUCUCGCUUACCUGAUCUCUCGUUCCCUCGACCUCGGCUUGUAUCUGACUAUUCUUUUGCUUUCUCCUUACGUUAGUCCGGCCAUUCUAAGGUCCGGUAUACGUACCUAUCCCCUGUUUGUAUUCUGCGUGUUGGAUCCCUGUCACGAUCCUGACAAAU